rnacentral:snoRNA from 1 species
AUGAUGUAAGCUGGUAUUGCUGAGAUGUGAAGAUCGACACCAAAGCUGA